rnacentral:rRNA from 1 species
UACGUAGGGUGCAAGCGUUAAUCGGAAUUACUGGGCGUAAAGCGUGCGCAGGCGGUUGUGCAAGACAGGUGUGAAAUCCCCGGGCUUAACCUGGGAACUGCACUUGUGACUGCACGGCUGGAGUACGGCAGAGGGGGAUGGAAUUCCGCGUGUAGCAGUGAAAUGCGUAGAUAUGCGGAGGAACACCGAUGGCGAAGGCAGCCCCCUGGGCCUGUACUGACGCUCAUGCACGAAAGCGUGGGGAGCAAACAGG